CGUUCCAACACCUGCUAAUUACUUCGGAACGCUGGGAAUAUUGAUGGCAGUGUUUAGACGAGAAAUUGUUACUCGACCGUCAUUGUCAUCCCCGUAAUUACCGGUCACGGAAUGAUUAUUGACUCGCCACGAUGCUGAUUACAACGACGGGCAGCGACAGUGUUCAUUGCGUGCCGCCGGCCUAUUAAUACGUUUCUUUUGCGAGCGUGUUGCCGAGGUCAUGGAUGGAACAGAGAGAAACAUCGACACUCUUAUAUACACCGCAUCGUGGAUCUUCAUUUUGAAUUAUGCCUUAUUGUGCCUCGUCUCGAAUCGCGACUGGCAUUGUGCUAAGGAUACGUGGACGUGAUUGUUUGCCUUUGACUCGAGUCACACCCUGGGUCAAUAUAUUCCUCGUGGCGAGUGUAGUGCGGCCAUUGCUGGCACACGGAAGCAUAUCGUCUAUCGCUUCGAGACGGAUGACCUUCCGAAGGUCAGCGCCUUUACUCCUUGAAGCCAUGCAGUUACACGCAAUAGUAUUCCGUCAAUAAUCCUGUACGUGUAACAAAUUGAAUGCAUUUAAUUAAGUUUCGGAUGGCACGGCAGCAUCAGUGGAAUAAUAUAAAGUAUGGACGGAUGGUAAUGCAAAUAAUUAACAACUGUUGAAGGUUGCAAUUAUCAAAAAUGAUCGAGAUGAUUGAUCGAAACCUACUUGUCAAUCCGUCCUUGCAAAAGAUCCCUCGGCUAGCCUCAAGGAUGACCAGUAAUAAUUCUUCAGGAACUAGAAUAUCGAUCCUGCCGCCUAACGACGUGUCAUUCCAAACAGAUCCCACGAUCCCGAUGCUUACGUAAAUAAUUGCCGUUCCAGUUUGUUUGCACGUCGCAUUUGCACGCUUAAGACUUGAUUGCACCGUUGACGGCGACGUUACGGAACGCAGCCCUACUCCAUGUUAAAAGGCAAUCCCAUCCAGAAGUGGUACAGUGUCGACCUUGUUUUGCAACAAUGUUAUGGAUGUACCACAUGUUAUUACAAGGAAUGUGCAAUGUCGAAAAGAGAAUGGUAAUAAUUUUCGUGGCGAUGCCAGGAACACGACUCGAGACGUUCCUUCUUUUCUGGUAUAGUAUUUAUUUUAUUAACACAUAACACGUCCGCGUAAUGAUAAAUUUUUGAAUGUAUUCCUAACAUUUCAAUAUUUUUAUAAAUCAAGUUAUAACAUUAUAAACAUAGAAGAAUUCCCUUCUUUUACUUACUACAAUAAUCGAAUGUCGUAGGAAGCCGUAUCGGGGAAUGAAAUCCAAUUCCAAUUAAUUUCUUCUUGACUGAGUGGCAACUUGUUUACAAUUUUAAAAUCGGUAUCCUUAAAAAUAACUCUCCCGCUUCAUUGUUCUUCUUCUCCAACAACAUCAUUCCUCAUCAGUCGAAUCGUCAUGCCAUCUACCAAUGAAACACGCGCUGACUCUCAAUCACCUUGGUCCGCAUUGAGAAGGAAAAAGAAAGAAAAAAAAAAAAAAGGAUCGUUCGAGACGCGCCACGGUGGUCAUUAUCAUCAUCAAUCGACCUAUAAAUAAUCAUGAGCCUCUGUAAAGGGAAGCGACUUAAUGAAAAUGUCAAUGACGCCGCAAAAACGAUCCUCUUCGUUCUGGCAUGGCGUUAUUCAAUGCUCGUACGCGGCCGCGGUCACAGGCGCGACUUCUUGUCUCUCGGUUGCACGCUCUUUUUCACUCGGUUGAUUUGCGCGCUGAGCAUUAUUCGUCAUUGCGGACACCUCGAUCACACCCUGCAUAAAGAAACUUGCCAUUCCGCGUUUCGAGACCGGAGAAUCGCGGUUUCGAUCCUCAUUUCCGUUUCGUCCGCCAGAUGGCUCAAUUUUUCCGCCGCCAUAUUGCCGUCCGCCGCUUGUCCACGCCGUUUUCCCCUCUGCUUUUUAUCCCGUGUAUUUUUUACUCGCUGCUGUUUUCUUUCGAUUUUUCUUUUCGUCCUUUCCCCCCCCCCUUCCUUCGUUAUUGCUUUAUUACGUUUGUUCGAUAUGUUUAAAUGAAUUGGAAGCGUGAAUCUCGUUAUCGUCUUUGAUUUUUAUUGCGGUUAGGAAUUAUUGGAGAAAAGAUGUUGGGCUUUCGAUUCGAACGAUUAGAAAUAAUCUAAAGUUGGCUCGAUCAAAACGAUAUUGUCGAUAACCGUUAAUGAAAUUAUUUUAAAUUAGGAAAUAAUUAUUGUCGAUGACAGGAAAAUUUGUUUGCUUUCGACCAUAGCGUGUUGAUUGAAGAACGAGAUAGAAUUCAAUUCAGAGUUUGAAAAAUUAUAGGGAUGCUUUCGUAUCUUACUUACUUAUUAACUUGGCAAUAAUUAACUUAUAGAGUUUUAUAAUUUAUCAAUUAAAAAUCUCUCUCGUGACACAUUCUACUCUUUUAUAAUCUAUAAUUAUUAGGUAUUUAAAAACACUUGCCAAUUUACUCUCUGUAACAGGGACGGGACAAGCGGGAAGCGAGUUAUAUUCGUAGCGGUACUUCUAGUUCUCGCCACCAUGGGGUUUCUAGCGUGACAACGGAACCUCUGUUUCUUGCGAUUCCUAUAUCCAAUCAUAUAUCCAUCAGAAUAAAUCAUUUCCUUAUAAGUUAAAUAAAAAAAAAAAAAUACGCGUUUCGUCUUAAGCAAGAAAUUAAAUUAUUACAAUAAUUGCAAAAAAAAAUUCAAUACUAAUCAAAAAAUUUUUCCAUCCAUCUUUUUAUAAUGUUUCAAUAUCCAUCUUAUCAUUUUCUUCAUCUUAUUAUCCAUCAUCAAUCGUUUCACAUCGAAAUCCUUUCAAUUAACAUUAUACUCCAGUUUCCAAAAAAAAAAAAGUUUAAAAUGAGAAACUUCAACCCUCUGUUAAUCUCUGUAAACAACUUCCUUUCAAUUCUUUCAAUCAUUUUAAAUUCAACAUCAUCAACAAUUUCUUACCAUCAUUCCAGAUCCAACUUUCUCAUCGAAAUCCCUUAAUUAAACAUCCAGUUUCCUCCUCCUCCUCCUCCUCCUCAAGUGGAAAAUCUAAAAAAACCUCGAAGCCGUCCAUACUCGAAACGUGCAAUCCACGUUCAAACCUUUCCUCUCGAAACCUCGUCUCCGUCGCAAGAAGCAGAAGCCUCCCGUGUGGUCCCCGUGCUUUUUUUUACAGCCCUGGUACUGGUUCACCAGCUCCACCAACUUCGUUAGUCCAAGGCUGCAGGCGAUGCGGCCUUGUAUUCGUUCCUAGCUCGUAAAUUGCGCAACACUUGGUCCAAAGCCUCGAUCGUUAUUAUUAAUAUUUAACAAUGCAAACAGUUGGAUGGUGCGCGCGAAACCAAGCGAGAAUCGUUCGCCAUUUAAGGGCGCACCGUCACGACGUGGCGCGGUAACCCGCAGAAAUUAACGCUUUGCAACGGAAUAAACGUCGAAACACAGAUUUACGUUGGCCUUCGCGCGCCACUAUUACACGUGCACACAUUUAAACUUGCUAAGUGUUACUUUAACAGAGAGAAGCAGAGGGAGAGAGAGAGAGAGAGAGAGAGAGAGAGAGAGAGAGAGAGAGAGAGAGAGAGAGGGAAUGCAUACCAAAUACGUGAGUCAUUUCACGGUGUGGCUACUUUGUUUUCUGCUUUAACGCGCCCCCUAUCCUCGCAAAAAGCCUCUAUCGCGGCCGGGCUGAUAAGUUACUCUUCUAAGAGCCACUACUUUCGAGCCUCGUUUCUUUCUCUUCUUGCGGAUAGAAUUGAAACGAGGCGAGGCCCUCGCCUACGGGAAACAAUGAUGAUUUUUAUCACGGCUGCACGCUUUUAACGCGACAGCCCGGGGACGGGGGAUGGUGGUUGAGUCGAUGAACCUGGCGGCCGUGAGAUACCGGCGUUUUAGGUUAGGUUGUUAAGCGAUCGUUUUUUGUUGUAAUUUCAUCGUGUAAUUUCACGAGGGAUUUGGAAUCUGAAACUGUGCCGGAGUUGAUUUAAUUGUUGAUUGUUGUGUUAAGUGUGCGUGAUUGAAUUACGUGAAAAAAGGAUAAUUGAGUAUGAAUAAAUUAGUAUAGAGUAUAAUAAAGGUUUAUGCAUUUAUCGAAACUAAGAAAAAAGUAAUUCAAGAUUGAUAAUACAUUAAUAAUUUAUAAAUUUUUCUGUUGGUAAUAAAGAUCUUUACUAAUUAGAAUGUUCAUGAAUAUAUUAACUAUAAUUUAUAAAAUAAAAAGGAAUUCUUCGUGGUUGAUUGUUAGAAUUUUUCCAUAAUAUUAUAUCUUUUUUUCUAUAGUAUUUUUUUAUUAAAAAAACACAUCGAUUUGGAUUUUCUAUAAUCCUUGCUAUAUAUAUGUGAACGUCUUUGAAACAUGCACAAGCAAUAAAAUGCAUUUUUAAAAAUGAAUACCUAUUUGCAUAAGAUAUUCUUAUGUGAAAUAUGUAUGAUCCAAACGUCGUGCAACAAUAUGACGACUGUUUUGAAAGUUUUACCGGUAUCAUCUUAUCGCGUUUC